UGGACUCCGUUGGCGUGUGCAAGUUUGUGUGUGCGUGUGUGUGUGUGCCUUCCUGUGUCUCUCACGGCGCACUGUGUGCUUCGCACGGGGACCCGGAGAAACGACCAAACAGAAAAAGCGUUGCUUGCUCCAUCGACGAAGGUGCACCAGCGUGUUUCGUGAGGAGACGCCCUGGCUGUCACCUACGGCUACACAUUGCUGAAUUUAAUUCUCCGACAGAGGUUCACUGGUGAUUGCUCUCGUUGUGGGGCCGACUUAUUUCACAAAGUACUCUGAGCUAGACCCCAUUCCUUCUGAGUGCGCCAUGACCUCGCUGAGAGACGAGUCAGCGAGGCUGGCAGACGAAGAGGCGUACACGUCUCUUCUGGAAAUUUGCACAGAGCUCAUUAUUGCCGAAGGCACCGAUGACCCACCCCUGAAGCAGCCCCUCGGGAUGCUGCACGAGCUUCUGCACCGCCAGCACCUCGGCGGCGACGCCACCGUGCUUUCCGUCCGUGCGGUUCGCAUUCUUCUGGAGAAGUUCAUUUCGGCCAUGUCCUCCAAGCUGCGCGUGAAGCUGGUUGAGUGCGCGCGCUCCGCAUUUGAGCGAGUUUCUCGCCUGAUUCACGGGUCGCCAACGAGUGACGCUGACUCCGGGUUUGUUCACACAAAGCGAUGGGAGCUGCAGGAGGAGCUGCUUCAGUGCAUGUCUGCAGCAGCCCAGAGCGACAGCGCGGUGCAGGCUGCUCUGCCACCGCUGCAAGAGCAGCUGACCUUCUGCAAGUCAGUGAUGGACGUGUCGCUGGAUAUGUGUCUGCAGGCGCUGCGGAUGUGCUGCGUGUUGCUGCGCAGUGCUCAGCUGUCUGCGCAGCCCCACUUGGUUUCCAUGAUUCGCGACUUGUUUCAGAGCAGGUUGACAGCGCUCGAGUCGAUGGAGAUGAAUCAGGAUUGGCUGCGCCUCCUUCGGCACCUUACAGAGGUUGCGGUGACGCUGAAGGCGUACGCAGCGAGGACGCCAGAGACCGCGGAAGCGAAUGCGAUCACGGGUAAAAGGAUGAACCGCAAACGCAAGCGCACGAUGGCAUCGAACCCGUCACGAGCGGCGCGAAUAUCUGCCGCAGGAGUCGAUGGUGAGCGCGGCGACGGCACUGAUGAGGCGCUCGUUUUGCUACGCCUGUGCCAGAAGGUGUGUGCGACACCGCGCCUCGACCGUGCCUUUCGCAGUACGGUGUUCAGCUGCGUCAAUGCCGUUCUUUCCGACGCGGCGCGCAUUGCCGGCGUGUCGGCGGACACCUGCGUCAGCGUUGCGAUGGACCUUGCGCGUGAGUUGACGCGCAAUGUGCGCACCACUCUGACGAUCGCGAACCCGUUUGUGAACCGUGAGGUCGUCUCCGGCACCAGCAGUGCUGCCGCGAGCAUCCCACUUGCGCGUGGGGACGAGGAAGCCGACGAUGACGAAGAACAAGGUGAGGACCUGCUGAGCAGCACCGAGGGGGCGAAGUGGCAUCUGCCGGAGCCGGAGUGGCCGCUGCUGGUUCUCAUUGCGAACAUCUUUGCUGCAAAGACGGUGCCGACACCGGAGCACAUGUGGUGGUCGGUCGGCGACGACGAGUACGCGCGGCGGUUUUCCAAAGAGGACCGUCUUCGUCUCACCAACGCGUUCUUCGCCGCCGAAGACGUGCUGGACUUAAAGAAGCGCGGGAGCCGUGUGCACCUCUCCACCAUGCGCGAGUUUCUGUGGCCCUUCGACCUUGGCUGCAGGGUCCUUUUCCAGCCAGUUCCGUGCACGUAUGCUGUGGCGGAAGCCGUGCCCGUCGCGCCUUCCCUUCAGUGCCCGCCCUCGCGCGCCGGCGAGCUGACAUUUGCACUUCGUAAGUGCGACGUGAGCGCGUUCUUGGAGCAUCUCGGGGCCGUGUUGCACAACGGCGGCGACGUCGCCGCUUUCGGGCAGUCUGUGCUGCUGCAGGUGCUGCUGGUUGUCGGGCCGCACGCGAGGGAUGUCACGCGUGCCGCGCUGCUCAGUUUUCUGGCGGACGCCGCCACUCCUCUCAUCGAGCAAGUCUCAGAGGUGCUUGUGCGCCACGACAGGGCGUGGGCGAGUACGCUGCUGGAUGCGGGUGUCACAGAGACGAUCCUGCGCCGAAGUACGUCGGUUACCCCCGAGCGAAGCCCGGUCGUGCAGAUGUUGCGCCGUGAGGCGGCCAGCCUACCCUCGACACCACCGCUGCUGCCCCGCUGUGGGUUACCAACGGUGGGACCGGCGGAGCUGCGGCGUGUUCUGCAGCAUGGCGGUCGAAGUGAUGUGGAGGCGCUGCUGGAGGUACUCACGUUCACGGAGGCGUGUGUGUGGGACACCGUCGCGUGCAGAGAGGCCGUGCGCGCUCUUGCUGGGGCGGCCACUCUAGGCAAAGACAGCACAGCCCAGGCAAAUGGCGCCGCAUCCGCUGGAUGGGCCCGGCAGCUGGAGCAUCUGCUGACGAGUCUCGUGAUGAAGCGGCUGCAGGACAUGGCGCUGCAGCUCCAGCAGCGGAGGACGCUGCAGCAGAUUGUGGAGGAAUCCGAGGUGGUGGAGGUGAUCGUGUGCGAUAACGGUCGAUCUAGUCAGUUUACGUGCCCUCGCCAGCACCCGUUGCACCACCACCACAGCUGCAACUGGAAGUGCGACGAAUGCAGUGCUAGUGGCCUCCAGGACGCGUGGUCGUGCCGAGAAUGUGAUUACGAUCUCUGUGCCACGUGUGCGAGGACACGCUGUAACCGCGUGAACGGUGCACUGACCGCAACGACGCAGGACCUUUUGACGGCGUGGCGCGCCUCGGCCGACACGUCCACGGAGGUAUCUGCGCCGCUCACGCGAGCUGUUCUCUUCAGUGAGGAGAGGGGCCUUGUCUCGGUCGCCACGCCCCUUGCCUGUCUGCACAGGCAGUCGGUGCACCUUGGCGAAAUCUACACGGCCUGCCCGUGCGGGCUCGUCUCCCCUGGCCCUGCGAAGCCGCUAGAAGCGGCGGCAGCCACGGACACAUUUCUUCUUGGUACGCUGCUCUCCCUUUUCGGUCGCACCUGCGGCCAAGACGUCGGCGUGCAGCGGCGCCUGCUGAAGGCGUACGAGAGCGCUGGCCCCUUCGUUUUUCUCGGAGGCGCACGCGCCGUGCCGGCGGAGCUUCGGUGUCUCACGACGCACCUGGCCCCGCAUCUGCCGCUUUCUGUGAAAAACCUCAUCACACGCUACGUGGCGAUCGACUGCCGUCGUUUUGCCUUUCAAACACUUCAUGAUCAGGCGGCGACGGUGAUGUCGGCAAACACCGGCGUUGCUCCCGAGUCGCCGAAGCCGCACAAGACGCAAGUGCCGCGCAGUGAUAAGCCCGCGCUGCUUCGAGUCUUGCACGACAGCUUCUGCGGCCUUCUCUCACCGUUAGUGAAGGUCGACUUCACCUUUGAGGGCGAAGAGGGCUUUGGUAGCGGCCCAUCGCAGGAGGUGUACACGGAGCUCUCCGCCUACUUCCGCGCGGAGUCGAAGUUUUGGUUCGUGACGGAGGAUGACGGCGGGGCAGAUCCGGUGACGCUGCCAUUUCCGACGACCAAGGCUCUGUUUCUCAAGGAGUUCUUCGCCCUCGGUGCCGCCUGUGCCCGCGCCUUCAUCGAUGAGUAUCGCAUGGACAUGGACCUGCUGCCGCAGGCAUGGCCACUGCUAAUGCUUCCCUCCCUCGGGCUUCCCGUGGGCCAGAAGGCCGGAGCGCGCAGCUCACCCUGUGCAUCGACCCUGGCGGCGCUGACGAACUUGUUGGAGGUGCUGGACCCAUCGCUGCACCGCAGCUUUGCCCAGCUACGGCGCAUUUCGGAGGCCGAGUUGGCGGCGGUGGGGCUCGAGAUGGACGAUGGCACCCUCCUCAGAACCCAUGCAGACCUGGAGCAGCACUUGCAGCUCACGGUGGUCACCCGCUUCGAGGUAGCGCUGGAGAAUCUGCGCCACUUCCAAUGGGGCUUGCUUUCAGUGAUGGAGGUGGAGGCCCUGUGGUGCCUCAGCGACGAAGAGCGCAGCAUGCUCAUCUGUGGUUCCGACGCGAAGGCUGACGGCCCACUCUUCACCGAGGAAGAGCUGCGGGCGCAGACAACGAUGGGCAGCGGCUAUAGCAGUGGCAGUGUUCACGUAGAAAUGCUACUUUCCAUUGUCGGCGGUGACUUCACGCGUGCGCAACAGCGCGAUUUUCUGGAGUUCCUGACUGGCUCGCCGCGGCUGCCCUUCAACGGCUUGGCCGGUCUCGGUCGCCUCAUCACGGUGGCGAUGAAGGACAUGGAGAGUAAGGACGAGCAGACCCUGCCGUCGUGCAACACGUGCUUUCUGUAUCUGAAGCUGCCGCCCUACACCACCCGCGAGAUCAUGAGGGAGCGUUUGCUGCUCGCCGUGACGGAGGGGCGUCGCAACUACAGUCUUUCGUAGGCCUCGCAACAUGCAUGGCUGUUUCAGCCGCGCGUCGCCGUUGCGAAGAGUUCACGAGCGGCUGGUGCCGCCACCGUGUCAGGACUCAUGUCGCGUGCGUCCUUCCCUGUAGGUGCGUGCGUGUGAGUGUGUGUAUGCUUGACAUUUGCGUUGGUGUGUUGCUGCAGGGUUGUCUUUGGGGGAGAGGAGGGGGCACUUUGGUGGCCACAUCACGCGCUCGAUGGCUUUGCAUUCUGUGUCUCAGCCGGCUCUCUCCGUGUUUCAUGCCGAAGGGGUCGCACUUGUAAGAACGGUUAACGAC
rnacentral:misc_RNA from 1 species